GGACUACCCGGGUAUCUAAUCCCGUUUGCUCCCCUGGCCUUCGUGCCUCAGCGUCAGGAACUCUCCAGAAACCCGCCUUCGCCACUGGUCUUCCUCACGAUAUCUACGCAUUUCACUGCUACACCGUGAAUUCCAGUUUCCUCUAGAGUCCUCUAGCACCACAGUAUCGAAUGCAGUUUCAGGGUUGAGCCCCGAGAUUUCACAUCCGACUUAUGGCGCCGCCUACGCACCCUUUACGCCCAAUGAAUCCGAACAACGCUUGGGACCUCUGUAUUACCGCGGCUGCUGGCAC
rnacentral:rRNA from 2 species